AAUGAACGCUGGCGGCGUGCUUAACACAUGCAAGUCGCACGAGAACGCUUCAGCUUGCUGGAGCUAGUAAAGUGGCGCACGGGUGAGUAACGCGUGGGUAAUCUGCCUCCGAAUUGGGGAUAACACUGCGAAAGCGGUGCUAAUACCGAAUAACACCUCCGGGGCCCAGGUCCUGGAGGUCAAAGGUGGCCUCUACAUGUAAGCUACUGUUUGGAGAUGAGCCCGCGUACCAUUAGCUAGUUGGUGGGGUAACGGCUCACCAAGGCUGCGAUGGUUAGCUGGUCUGAGAGGAUGAUCAGCCACACUGGAACUGACACACGGUCCAGACUCCUACGGGAGGCUG
rnacentral:rRNA from 1 species